rnacentral:rRNA from 1 species
GAACCUGCCUCAAAGAGGGGGACAACAGUUGGAAACGACUGCUAAUACCGCAUAAGCCCACGGCUCGGCAUCGAGCAGAGGGAAAAGGAGUGAUCCGCUUUGAGAUGGCCUCGCGUCCGAUUAGCUAGUUGGUGAGGUAAUGGCCCACCAAGGCGACGAUCGGUAGCCGGACUGAGAGGUUGAACGGCCACAUUGGGACUGAGACACGGCCCAGACUCCUACGGGAGGCAGCAGUGGGGAAUAUUGCACAAUGGGGGAAACCCUGAUGCAGCGACGCCGCGUGGAGGAAGAAGGUCUUCGGAUUGUAAACUCCUGUUGUUGAGGAAGAUAAUGACGGUACUCAACAAGGAAGUGACGGCUAACUACGUGCCAGCAGCCGCGGUAAAACGUAGGUCACAAGCGUUGUCCGGAAUUACUGGGUGUAAAGGGAGCGCAGGCGGGAGAACAAGUUGGAAGUGAAAUCCAUGGGCUCAACCCAUGAACUGCUUUCAAAACUGUUUUUCUUGAGUAGUGCAGAGGUAGGCGGAAUUCCCGGUGUAGCGGUGGAAUGCGUAGAUAUCGGGAGGAACACCAGUGGCGAAGGCGGCCUACUGGGCACCAACUGACGCUGAGGCUCGAAAGUGUGGGUAGCAAACAGGAUUAGAUACCCUGGUAGUCCACACCGUAAACGAUGAUUACUAGGUGUUGGAGGAUUGACCCCUUCAGUGCCGCAGUUAA